rnacentral:lncRNA from 1 species
AUAUACCAACAAUUCCAUCAUCAUCCAAAAAUAAAAGUCAUCAUGAAUAACAAUUGUAUCAUGAAUAACAAUAAUAUCAUUCAAGCUCCAAAAAAUAAGUCACCACAUCCAGUAAAUAACAGGGUCAUCAUCAGUCAAAAAAUUACAGGCCAUCAUCAUCAUCCAAAAAAUUACAGGUCAUCAUCAUCAUCCAAAAAAUUACAGGCCAUCAUCAUCCAAAAAAUUACAGGCCAUAAUCAUCCAUCAUCAUCCAAAAAAUAAUAGGAUCAUCAUCAUCUAAAAAAUAACAGAGCAUUCAUCCAAAAGAUAACAGAGCAUUCUUAACAUGAACUGACUCUCAACCUAGCAAUCUAUUUGCAUCAAU